UUCCAGUUGCACUGUCCUGGACAACCCUUCUGGAACCUUCCAAAGAGGCAGAAACUGGUCGCUGUGCUGGAGGAGCGAGGACUGGGUGUGCACGCAGCCUGAACAAUCUCCUCCUCCCCCAGCUGCUGAAGCCUGACACCUUUCUAAGGAGUUAGUGCCCAGGAGCCAGCUCUUCCUUAAUAAAAGAACUCACAUGUAUUGCAGGAGCUAAGCAAGUUUCAUGUUGUAUCUCAUUUAAUCCUCACAGCAACCCUAAUAAGUCAUGGCAUUCCAGUUUCCAGAAGGAUAAAUGAGAGUUAAGGAGGUUUGGUUAUUUACCCAUACUCACAUAGCUAAUAAGAGGAGGAACCCUAAUGUCUAGCUCUCAUCUCCCAGGGACAGAGGUCAUGGUCCUCCUGGGGUUUGAACCCAGGGCAAAGGCUGAGGCAGGAGAGUAUGGGAUUAGCUAAUGGUUUAUGAUGUCUUGAGCAAGUCUUGGAAGUCUCUGUACCUCAAUUUCCCCAUCUAGCAUCUCAGUUGCUGUAGGAAUUGGCGGGAGGGAGAGUUGACCCAAGGAGUCAGGACACAAAGUCAGUAAGGCAGUGUUUGAGGAUGGUGUCCUCUUGCAGGGAGGAAGGCCCCAGGUACCUGAGAAGAAAGCUCUGAAAUGGUGUUCCUCUGCUGGCAGCCUUAUCAGCAUCUUCUCGGAAGACCAGAUGGGUGGUGCUGCGAUCCUGGCAUGCUGUGUAGCUGCAGCCCAGGAAGAAAAGCCAGUGUGACCCAGGAGUUAAAGCCCUCAAGACAGCUCGAAGCUGGGUGAAUUCCAUCCAGCUCCAUGGCUAAUAGCUAGCUGCGUGACCUUGUGCCAAAUUCCUUCACCUGCCCACACCUUCACCUCCCUGUCUGUACAAGGACAUAAUUGUACCCUGAGGUGGCUCUGAAGACUGUGUAUGCACUCAGGCAAUGGAUUCAUGAUUAAUAAUUGUGGCUCUCUACUCCUUUGGUCACCUUCCAGCCGCCAUCCUCUGCUAGUGACCUCGGGCUCUGCUACUGGGGCAGAGAGACACAGGCCAUUUCUCUGGGAGCUGCCACCUUGAAUUCCAGUUCCCUGGAGCCCCCGCGAUGACAUUUUUGCCCUGCAGGACUUAACCAGGGCUCAGCAAGCCCUAGCAGGGCCCUCUCUGCGGCUGGCUAGAGGUGUCCUCAUCCCCUGGCCUGCUUGGGCCAGGCAACUCCUGUUUCCCAAUUCCUCCGCCAGCUCCUGCCACUUGGCUACAGCGCCUGAACUCGUGAACGCGGUGUUUUGGUUUUGCAGCAAGAAGGAAAAAUAAAAGGGCGGGUGUGGGGCCUGGACAGGAGGGUGAGAAGGAGAGAGAGGAGGAGGGAAAAACCCUCCAGCCGCCUGUGCUGGCCAGUUCCAGGAAUGUGUUCUCGGACCUCCGUGCCAAAGCAGUGACCCAGGCGCGGCGGCCAGGCCGGGUCUGGAGGCCUUCCCAGGAGAAGGGAGAGGCCGGCUUCGGCUCCAGGGCCCGAGGCUGCCUCGCCUCCCGCCUCCCGCCUCCCCCACGCCGCCUCUGCUGACUCAUCGCUGCCCCAGCUGGCAGGAGCCUUUUCUGGGGAUGGCUGUUGCUAAGAUUCCUUGGAGAUGACUGAUUGCUUC
ensembl:lncRNA